AGUAUCCUCCUAUUCAUCCUCCAUGAACGAGAAGUAUCCUUCUAUUCAUCCUCCAUGAACCAGGAAGUAUCCUUCUAUUCAUCCUCCAUGAACCAGGAAGUAUCCUUCUAUUCAUCCUCCAUGAACCAGGAAGUAUCCUUCUAUUCAUCCUCCAUGAACGAGAAGUAUCCUUCUAUUCAUCCUCCAUGAACCAGGAAGUAUCCUUCUAUUCAUCCUCCAUAAAUCAGGAAGUAUCCUGCUAUUCAUCCUCCAUGAACCAGGAAGUAUCCUGCCAGCUAACAAAUACAUGGACAAAAGAAUGCAAGCAUGGCGCCCCAAGAUUUGUAUUUCAUUUUCUUUUAGGCAAUUGAGUCAUGAUGAAACUGUUCCACCCAUCUCAGAAAUUUAAAAAAAUGACAAAAAAUGACAUUUUUAAACCAGGAAGUAGCCUGCUUGCUAAUAUGGCUGCCCAGUAUUCCUCUCUGUUUAUGUCUAACAUCUUUUCUGAGUAACUUGCUUGAACACAUUUUUAUUGGGCUGUAACGUGUGUGUUGUUUGCUUUCUGAGGAUGCUGAGAUGAGUCAGCCCAUCAGAGUAGACCAGUAUCACCGCCGGCCACAUGAAAAAGCUGCCUGAUACCUCCACCUCCAUGCUUCCUCGUCCUCCAGGAGCAAAGCAGGGAAUCCAUCCAUGAGGUGGGGGCGGAAGUAGCGUGCCGACAUCCGUAAGCUGAGCGAAUGCAAAGCUGUACACGGAUGAAGGAGGCAGGGAAGGAGAGAAGAAAGAGGAGUGGAAAAGCUGCAUUGCUCCCUCUGAGGUCAGUUUUGGAAGCGAGCCCUGGGCCGGCAAAGUAAAAACCUGAAAUAUGUGCCUUAAUGGCUGUCCUCGCGCUGCCCUUUAGUGAUACGUGCUGCUGCGCUGAGUCAAACACGGGGCGAAGUGGGAAAUCAACACUGACAUAUUUGCAUAUGCUCACAGUUUGCUCUUCGCCGAGAGCAAAUGUGC